rnacentral:rRNA from 1 species
AAACUUUCAACAACGGAUCUCUUGGUUCUGGCAUCGAUGAAGAACGCAGCGAAAUGCGAUAAGUAAUGUGAAUUGCAGAAUUCAGUGAAUCAUCGAAUCUUUGAACGCACAUUGCGCCCUCCGGUAUUCCAGAGGGCAUGCCUGUUCGAGCGUCAUU